UGAGGAAUAUUGGUCAAUGGGCGAGAGCCUGAACCAGCCAAGUAGCGUGCAGGAUGACGGCCCUAUGGGUUGUAAACUGCUUUUAUGCGGGGAUAAAGUGAGGGACGUGUCCCUUUUUGUAUGUACCGCAUGAAUAAGGACCGGCUAAUUCCGUG
rnacentral:rRNA from 1 species